UACGGAGGGUGCAAGCGUUAAUCGGAAUUACUGGGCGUAAAGCGUGCGCAGGCGGUUCGUUAAGUCCGCUGUGAAAUCCCCGAGCUCAACUUGGGAAUUGCAGUGGAUACUGGCAAGCUGGAGUAUGGUAGAGGAAGGUGGAAUUCCCGGUGUAGCAGUGAAAUGCGUAGAGAUCGGGAGGAACACCAGUGGCGAAGGCGGCCUUCUGGACCAAUACUGACGCUCAUGCACGAAAGCGUGGGGAGCAAACAGG
rnacentral:rRNA from 1 species